UUCAUGGAUUAUGUUUUACUUGUUUGAUAAGAAAACUAGCCUUUUUACUUUUUGUUUCUUUCACCCAGGUAAAUGGAAAUCAGGAACGAAGAAACAACGCACUAUCUGUCCUCUUUAGAUGCAAAUAACAGUUAGGAUUUGGUGACCAAAACCAUUUUGUCUCCCUUUUUAAACCUUCUUUUGUGCUAAAUACAUCUCAACAGGGAAGUAUACUGCAGGCACUAAAUCCUGGAAUUGGGUUCUGUGAUAAGUUCAUCGCUUGGCUUUUAGCCGCUUGUUUUUCAACGAAUGCAAACAAGGGCUGGCAGUAGAAUUGGAUAGUUAGAGGUGGAUAGCUAAGGCUGCACUAGGAAGGUCAAGUGUCAAAUACGGGUUAUAGAAACCAAAACCAGUGAGGAGAUUUCCAGGUGAUAAGUCUCCAAAAGCAGUCAAAAGCAUGCGGAAUUGGGUUGUUACUCCAACACUAAUCAGUAGGACACAAUUGAACUGCAUCAUCAGCAGGCAAGACAAUGAAGAAGGCAUCAAUGGUUAUUAGUAAAGUGAUGGAGUAACCACACGGUUUUGUAUGCUCUUGGGCUGCUUUUGAAGACUGAUCACCAGGGAACAUCCUCACUGGUUUUGAUUUCUAUAACCCAUAUUUGCUGCUUCACAUAUCCCAUGUAGCCAUUUUUGUUUCAUCAUGUGUUCUCAUAACAAGUCUACUGCCGGCCCCUCUUCGCAUUCAAAAGAAAUUCGAGUCCCAAUUCCAAGAUUUAGAGUACUGUGAUUCCAAUGCUUCUUCUGCCGAUCUUAGAACGACAUGGUUUGUAUUGUUGGAGCACUAGGACAUUGACUACUCCCCACUUCCCUGUUGGUAUGUAUACAGCAACAAAAGUAGAUACCUAGUUGGAAGACAGAAUGGCUUUGACUCCAAAUCCUGAUUUUGCCUCCCUUGUUAUUACUAUGGUUAAUGCUGCUGCUUUUACUGUAUAA